AUGCCGAUGGGGUCCAACGAGGCGGACAAGCCGCUGCGGCGGAUCGGCGCGUCGUUCGAGCAGCUCGCGGCCGUCGCCAAGCAGCAGCAGCAGCCCGCGAUGGCGGCGGGGGACUUCUCACGCGCCUGCUCCAACGUCUCCGUCCUCUUCUGCUGCCUCGGCAUCGCCUUCAAGUUUGCGGAGAUGGACUACGUAGCCAAGGCAAGCGGCCGCUCCUCCGCCCCCCUCUCCUCCCCCGCUACCUGCUCUGCUGUUCGCUGCGUGCCAUCCAUGUGGGAAGGUCGCGGCGACCACCAAGAAGACACCCAACUCCUGCACCCCGAACUACCCUACCCGAGCCUGCCGUCGCAGCUGCUGUGUCAAGUCCACAACAUCACCAUGCAUGCUGACAAGGACAAUGACAGGUCUACGCACAGAUGA
rnacentral:rRNA from 1 species